rnacentral:rRNA from 1 species
AUUGAACGCUGGCGGCAUGCUUACACAUGCAAGUGGGACGGCAGCACAGAGAAGCUUGCUUCUUGGGUGGCGAGUGGCGAACGUGUGAGUAAUAUAUCGGAACGUACCGAGUAAUGGGGGAUAACUAAUCGAAAGAUUAGCUAAUACCGCAUAUUCUCUGAGGAGGAAAGCAGGGGACCUUCGGGCCUUGCGUUAUUCGAGCGGCCGAUAUCUGAUCAGCUAGUUGGUGGGGUAAAGGCCUACCAAGGCGACGAUCAGUAGCGGGUCUGAGAGGAUGAUCCGCCACACUGGGACUGAGACACGGCCCAGACUCCUACGGGAGGCAGCAGUGGGGAAUUUUGGACAAUGGGCGCAAGCCUGAUCCAGCCAUGCCGCGUGUCUGAAGAAGGCCUUCGGGUUGUAAAGGACUUUUGUCAGGGAAGAAAAGGCUGUUGCUAAUACCGACAGCUGAUGACGGUACCUGAAGAAUAAGCACCGGCUAACUACGUGCCAGCAGCCGCGGUAAUACGUAGGGUGCGAGCGUUAAUCGGAAUUACUGGGCGUAAAGCGAGCGCAGACGGUUACUUAAGCAGGAUGUGAAAUCCCCGGGCUCAACCUGGGAACUGCGUUCUGAACUGGGUGACUAGAGUGUGUCAGAGGGAGGUAGAAUUCCACGUGUAGCAGUGAAAUGCGUAGAGAUGUGGAGGAAUACCGAUGGCGAAGGCAGCCUCCUGGGAUAACACUGACGUUCAUGCUCGAAAGCGUGGGUAGCAAACAGG